rnacentral:rRNA from 1 species
CCUACGGGUCGCACCAGUGGGGAAUAUUGGACAAUGGGCGCAAGCCUGAUCCAGCCAUGCCGCGUGAGUGAUGAAGGCCUUAGGGUUGUAAAGCUCUUUUGUCCGGGACGAUAAUGACGGUACCGGAAGAAUAAGCCCCGGCUAACUUCGUGCCAGCAGCCGCGGUAAUACGAAGGGGGCUAGCGUUGCUCGGAAUCACUGGGCGUAAAGGGCGCGUAGGCGGUCUUUUAAGUCGGGGGUGAAAGCCUGUGGCUCAACCACAGAAUUGCCUUCGAUACUGGAAGACUUGAGACCGGAAGAGGACAGCGGAACUGCGAGUGUAGAGGUGAAAUUCGUAGAUAUUCGCAAGAACACCAGUGGCGAAGGCGGCUGUCUGGUCCGGUUCUGACGCUGAGGCGCGAAAGCGUGGGGAGCAAACAGGAUUAGAUACCCGUGUAGUC